rnacentral:lncRNA from 7 species
GAAUAAAUGCCAAAUCCAGCAGUCUAGUAAGGAGGAAAUGUUUUAAAAGUCUAUCCUGUUACAAGCCUAAAGCAACCAAAACUGGAGUAGACACGGUGAAGAACCAGAAAUGGUUGAGUUCAGGAGGGAAGGUAGUUGUAACCAAAACUUCCCUCAUAUCCUCAUCUGAAAGCUCUUCUUCCCUCUGAAAGUCAAAUCUGUUUGGCAGGGAUCUGUGUCUUUUGCAUCCAGCAAAGCGUUUCUCAGUAGAAACUGCAAGAAGCAGAGGGAGUGCAUGUGGCUCCCCGUCCCCCUGCAGCCUGCCAGGCACUGCCACAUGCCUCAUGCAGCAAUCUGCUCCCUUCUUCUUGCUAGGGAGUGUGAAAGAAAAGCACGAGUGGCUGAGCAAGCAUCCGCUGGGGAGUCUUGGAAAGGAAAAGACUGACCAUAUAUUCAAAAUGUGGCAAAUUGCAAUAACUGGCCACCAAAUGGUAUGGAAUGUAAUGCUCCUGGAUUUUCUCACAGGACAGGGCAUGUUCUGGACCAUCAACUGACCCGCUACUGUUUCAAACAGGGAACUGUUUAAUUGAUCUUAUCCCACCACAUAAAUCAAAGGAGAAAAGUGUGGUGGCAUCUGGGCAGGACCUGGAGGAAUAAAUACUGUAUACAUUAGCAGCACUCUAUAAAGAACAUUAAAAAUAAGACUGCAAAACCUAAUCCAGACCACAGUCCAGUGGACACCAAUAUAUAUGAUAUGAUUUGGAGAGAAGCUCUGUAAGUCAGUGGCCUAUAGGAGUAUGGGUGGACAUGGCAUCCCCCCUGCAGAAUGAAAGAUGAAUGGCUGCCAACACUGGCUUGCAGUUUACACAUCUCUGAAAAACCGGGUGACUCCUUUCAAAUAGAAUUCCACCUGUACGGGCAACAAAAGAGAUGUCAGAUGAGAGGAAGAAGUGGAAAAGGAAUGCGGAAUAAAGCAAUCCUCAAGAGCAUUCCCGGUACAUCAGCAACUAACUGGGAAAGGCUUAUGGUUUUUUCCAGGACCUUACAUCCACCUCAGGCUGAAAGUUCUCCUGUUUCAAUAUCUGGAAAACCUAGCAGUUUUGUCCACUGUAUUCCAGGGCUGAUGCUCACUGCUGCUCUUGGAGAUUUUAUCAAAGAAUUGAAACCAGAUAUUCCUAAUCAUUCUUUGGAUAACUUAUUCUGAUCAGAAUAAUGACAAUUAAUGUCCGUUUGCACACGAUGAUCUUUGUCAUGGGAGAGGUACCUCCGGCAAUGUUUUCCAGCUGCAGUCCCAAGUUUGUUUUGUGUGUCUCAUGGGUAAACAAAAGUACACAGCAGUGACAGUAAACAUAAAUCAUGCACUCCACAGAAUGCAUGAAUGAGCUGACAACAAGUCUGACUUUUCCUUGCCUAUAUCGUGAUCACUGUAUUAUAAUGCUCCAGGAUUUUGUGUGGAAUGAAUUUCUCCUGUUCCCAAUUCCUCAGUGUUUUCUACAGAAUAGAGUAUCACAGCAUGCUGAUGUUCAUCUUGCCUUGCACAUUUCAUGAAGCCUCUUGGUUCCACCAUUCCAGAUCCACAUUUUUAGUCACACAAAGAUUUUUUCUUGCAUCCAUAAUUUGCUGCAGAUCUGACUACCAUUCAUUUACCUGAAAUAGAGACCUAGCACCCACGUUGCUGCCCCUACUGACAGAUCAACCUCAUCUCCGCCUGUGAGCUUAAUGUUUCAUGUUUUACUCAUUUGAGUAUCUUUACUGAUUGCAAUUGUGUUACUCAUGGAAGAGAGCAGUCCAUUAUUAUGCGUGUGGAAGAGCAUCUGGAGUCAGUCCUAUGUGGUCAAAGUUUCCUCCCAUCUUUUCAGGACUCUCAUAUUGUUUCACCUUUCACACCUCUUCCAGUUCGGCUUCUUUCACUUGUUUUGUGUCCUUUGUGAGGAGAACACAACAGAAAAAAGAUUCUCAAAAGCUCUUUUCCCAGUGCUAUUGUAGGCUGCAUUUAUUCUUUCAUUACAUCUGCACCUGGCCUCAAAGAAAAUCAUCUUAGCUCCAGAUGAUCCAUUUUUAAUGGUGCUUGCAGGAGGAAGCAAUAGUUUGACAGUUGAUCUGUUGGCCCCAUUGCAGCUUCUGAACAAAACUGAGAGCUGCCAAAGCAAAAGAAAAUAAUAGGGGAGGAUAAUGAGACUACACCAUAAGCAUCUCCGAAGUUCAAAUAAGAAAACAGGUGGGGGGCUAUUAAAUAAAGGAGGUUAUUAAGGCACACAUCUUAGGCUAAAAAAUAGAUUUUAAGAUCUCAAGGCCAAAAUAAUGCAUAGGAUAAUUCCUUUUAGUGACACUUUUGUGACUGGUGCUAAGGCAGUGGGAAGGAAAAAAACGUAUCUGUUUCUCUAACAUGAAAUGGUAGACAAAGUCCACAUGUCUGAUUUUCCAUAAGCUCUGGGGAGAUGCAGGGUGAAAAGCAGGUGCAAGGAGCCAGAGGAAACAGUCAUCUGUGCUGAGGCAACCCCUCACAGCUCACCUCUGUAUGCUCACAUGGGCUGUGGUAGCCAUGGAGUAAGGCACAAGCUGCUGUCCUCACUGAUGGCCAAAGCUGCAUCCACUUCUUCACUCUCUAGGGCUCCUGCCAGGUGAAAUGGCAGAAACGGAACAUGAGCACAUAAUCUCCUUAACUUUAUUUUUCCACUACAUGACUUUAUGAUGCUAGAGGGCACAGGAAAAUGAAUUUUAGAAUAAGAACCGCAAGAACCAUAAAACUAUGCUGGGUACAAUCAGGUAAGUUUCAGCUGUGCAGGUAAACCUGCAUCUGUUUGCUCAUGAUUAAAGAUCUGCAAACAUUUCUGGGUGUGUCCAAGGAAAAAGUCAAAUCCUUCAGUCCAGCAGCAGAAUGCAGUCACUACUGACACCUGUCAGUAUAAUGGUCCUUCCAAAUUAGCACUGUUUUUCAUCUUUUAGGUGCAAGAACACUUGGAAUAGCACACAAGUAAUACCUCUCAUUUUACAGAGAAAGAAAAUGGAGCAUCACAAACUUGCAAGCGUAGCAUCCUAGCAGUGGAAUGCUGUACAAAUGCAGUAUAAGCAGGCAUGAAAAUGUAAAGUGAGAAGUUUCAAUAUCUUCAUGGUCUUUGCAGGUAUCGGGAACAGUGUCCAUUAAUUCAGAAAAUGACAUGUUUAUGGUGAAGAUGAAAUGCUACCAAUGGUUGUUUUUGUAUGAUGCCAUUUAUCUUUUAUGUCAGUUGAGAAAAAUUCAUUCUCAGAUUUUUGACUGCAGCUGAUUCUGACUUUAUAGUAGAAUAGAUUUCAUACUACAGAGUUAAAAAUGGAAUGAGAAAAAAAAACAGACUUCAGCAGAAUGGUAAAUGAUCGGGUUUUCAGACUUUUGCAUCACCAGAUGUAUGAAGAAGGACGUCCUAUGAAUCACAGAAUCAUAGAAUGACUAAGAUUGGAAGGGACCUCAAGGAUCAUCAAGUUCCAACCCCCUUGCCACAGGAGGGGUUGCCAGCCACUUGAUCAAGUACUAGAUCAGAUUGCCCAGAGCCCCAUCCAACCUUGCCUGGGUUGGAGGUAGUUAGGAAAGGAGGACCCUGGCAUCACUGAGGUGGCAGUAAUCACUACAACUCCAAGCAUAAAUUGGCAGGAGCUACUGGGAGGAGACUAGCAGCCUAACCUACAGCACUGAUGGCUGCAGGAGGAAAAUGGCUACCCAUAGACAAACAAAUUUAUCAGUGGAAGUAGCUGCAGAAAGAUAGAUGCAUGUGCAUCUCUUACUCAAUUCUUGUAAUACUCCUCAGCUUCAAUACCAAAUUAUAACACUGUAUCUUACAGUACCAAUAUAACGUUCCAGCUGUUGUUUCUUAAGGUAAGAGAGGAGCUAGAAUUUUCCAGUGAUUACUAUGAAAAAAAAAUAAGAGGAAAAAGAAGCAAAGCAAAAGUAAAAGCAUGCAAACUCUCCCAAAUAAUGCAGGGAAAUGUAUAAGGAUGUGUGACAGAGGAGAUAAUUGAAGUUGCCUUCAGGAGGGGUAUGAGGUGGCAAGAAUUUUCUUUCUUGAAUAUUCAUAAGAGUCCGAAGUUUUGUUUGAUUGGUUUAAAGUUGUGUCUGAUUGGCUUUGAAACUGUGAGAGAAAAAAAAAAAAAAAAAAGCAGCAGAAAUUCCAUCCUGCUUUAAUCACUGCCCACUCCGUGCUUCCCUAAUGACUUCCAGAUGCCUUCUUUUUAUGCUAUUGUUUUGGCACAGUUUCCAGACAACUUUUGGGUCUGUU